rnacentral:rRNA from 1 species
GUGUCAGCCGCCGCGGUAAUACGGAGGGGGCAAGCGUUGUUCGGAAUCAUUGGGCGUAAAGGGCGUGUAGGCGGCCGAUCAAGUCGGGUGUGAAAUCCCUCGGCUCAACCGAGGAACUGCACUCGAUACUGGUUGGCUAGAGUUCGGGAUGGGGUGGCGGAAUUCCCAGUGUAGCGGUGAAAUGCGUAGAUAUUGGGAAGAACACCGGUAGCGAAGGCGGCCACCUGGACCGAUACUGACGCUGAGGCGCGAAAGCCAGGGGAGCGAAUGGGAUUAGAAACCCUUGUAGUCC